rnacentral:rRNA from 1 species
AGAGUUUGAUCCUGGCUCAGAUUGAACGCUGGCGGCAUGCCUUACACAUGCAAGUCGAACGGCGGCACGGGAGCAAUCCUGGUGGCGAGUGGCGAACGGGUGAGUAGUAUAUCGGAACGUGCCCAGUCGUGGGGGAUAACGUAGAGAAAUUUACGCUAAUACCGCAUACGAUCUAAGGAUGAAAGCGGGGGACCGUAAGGCCUCGCGCGAUUGGAGCGGCUGAUAUCAGAUUAGGUUGUUGGUGAGGUAAAAGCUCACCAAGCCGACGAUCUGUAGCUGGUUUGAGAGAACGACCAGCCACACUGGGACUGAGACACGGCCCAGACUCCUACGGGAGGCAGCAGUGGGGAAUUUUGGACAAUGGGCGAAAGCCUGAUCCAGCAAUGCCGCGUGCAGGAAGAAGGCCUUCGGGUUGUAAACUGCUUUUGUACGGAACGAAAAGGUCUGCCCUAAUACGGCGGGCCCAUGACGGUACCGUAAGAAUA